GAAGACCAUAGCUCCGUGGUUGAGUAUCUGCUUUGCAUGCAGUAGGUUCUAGGUUCAAUUCCCAGCAUAUUCU